GAUCUGAUAGCACAAGGCCGUGCAUCCGCUAUCAUUGGGUAUCUCCAGAAGUUGAGGCGGAGGAUCCCGGUUCGAGUCCGGGUCGGGUCA